UACGGGGGGGCAAGCGUUGUUCGGAAUUACUGGGCGUAAAGGGCUCGUAGGCGGCCAACUAAGUCAGACGUGAAAUCCCUCGGCUUAACCGGGGAACUGCAUCUGAUACUGGAUGGCUUGAGUUCGGGAGAGGGAUGCGGAAUUCCAGGUGUAGCGGUGAAAUGCGUAGAUAUCUGGAGGAACACCGGUGGCGAAGGCGGCAUCCUGGACCGACACUGACGCUGAGGAGCGAAAGCCAGGGGAAGCCAAACGGGG
rnacentral:rRNA from 1 species